rnacentral:ribozyme from 14 species
AAGAAAAAGAAGAAGGAGGAGAAUAUGACAACAAUUAUAAUAUAUUCAUAUUCUAUAUUUCUUCUUCUUCAUCUU